UAAAAUUAAAAAAAAUUAUAGUGCUGCACUUUUAGCUGCUGUAUGAAGAUAGGAUCACACUUUCCAUCUUCUAGAUCAGGGGUCUGCAACCUGUGUCUCUGGAGACUCUUUGACUCACUUAAUAUAUCAAAUGAUGAAAUAUAUUGCUCCGUUUUUUUGGUUUCAUUCUUUUUAAAUGUCGCCAUAAAAAAACAGUGACUACAGCAACCCCAGUGGUAAAUCUGACCUAGACUCCAAACCUAACUCCUUAUUUGUAUAAAUACAUUGAGAAUGCAGAAUGUUCACAUAACUUUUAUACUUUUGGUUAUCUGGGGAUACAUCUUGAAUAUUAAAUCAGGUGUUAGAAUCAGUUACUCAGUACUUGAGUAGUUUACAAAUGACUUUACACUUGCUUAAAUAAAUGUGUUUAAGGUAUACUACUCUGAUUGAAGUACAAUUUGAGUACUCUAAUCAACCUCUAUGUAUGCACGAUUGCUCUAUGGAUCACUUUUUUUUUUUUUUUUUUUUUUACAUAGAACACUGCCAUAAAAUUAUGUCCAUCACUGUAAACACAUCCUACCCCAUGAGAGUAGGGCGACAUGCGCUAUGGUGGGCGUCCCCAUUUUAAAUUCUGAAAGGUGGAAACCCUACUCUCAGAGAGAUAAACUUCCACACUACAUUGCUUAUUUGCUGCCGUGAGCUUAUGCAGUGUGAAGUAAAAGGAGAGAUAUGCUGCACUGGCUUCUGCAGGUUGUGAAGUCUGAGAUGCAGGUGAUCAGUUUUUGUGAUCGACAACAAGAGACAGCGCUCUGCAAUGACCGAUCAUACUUUUUCAUGGAAAUCCAUAGAUUAUGAUCAGUGGCUGAUCAAUCAGCACACCACUGGUAACAGAGUUCUUCCAGCAAUAAGCACGGCAACUUAGGGAAAAACACUAAAAAUGUCUUAUUUUGAUGGGCUCUUAUUUUGAAAUUAGACAUUAGAUAUGGAUGACAUUUGCUGUGUCUUCUAGAGGUGUCCCUCUGUCACCCUGAAGUUAGAGAAGUCCCUGGUAACACAUUGCUUAUGGAAUCAGAAAGAUAUUUUGCCUGUCAAAUAUCACCAAUUUUGAUUGAGAUUACAGGAUUUUCUUUACACAAUAUAUUUUAAUUUAUUUUCAGAUACAGAUUUUCAUUUUGAAAAUGCAUGAACCCAAAGCUUUAAACUUUUAUAGCCGCUGGAAAUAAACUUAAAGUGUGAAUCAAACAUAAACCGCACGUGCGCUUUUAUUUUGAAAAGAGUUUGUAAAGGAAAGCGCCCAACACCUGGUGCCAUCCGGCCUGCCAAAAUAAGUGCGGGAUGACUCAUUUACAAAGGGGCAGCUAGUUUUACCCCGAUCCACCCCAAGCCGGUAACGGGUGUAAGAAAAAAAAAAAAAAAAAGCUACUUCAGAGAUGACAACAUCCACCAUAAAGAUACAAGUGGAAAGAAAACAAAGCCAGAAGUAGUGAUGUGAUCGAAGUGAUUCAUGCCUAAAGGAAUACGUUCCUCAAUGGAAAGUGUUAUAUUUAUCAUUUUUUCAAGCUUACUGACAUCCCAAGAUGUUCUCGGUCAUCUUAGUAACCCCCAAGUUAGCAAAUAAAUUUGUUAUUCAGGACAUCUGUCUGUUUUUAAUAAAGAAACAUCUUAAAUCAAUUCUGUACUAUUUUUCUGUAUGGGAUUGGUUUCGGCCAAUACUAAACCACAUAUCAGUAUCAGAAGUGAAAAAAGUGCAUAUGUACAUGCUAAGCACUACUAGCUGGUUGAUCUAUAGACCCAACUGCAGAACUGGAUGCUUCCAUCUGCUCCCUUUAUGCUUUGCCACCAGACACCUCUACACCCCGUUUCAAAGACCAGGGCCACAACAGUAUAAACUGCAUAUAACAAAAUAAAAGAAAGGCCUCCUCACAUGGCAUGAAAACACGUUUCUAGACUUAUUGCACACAAAAUACUUUAAGCACUAAAUAUCUCGAGGUUUAUAGAGCAACAUUUAGUACUUGUUACUCCAUUUUGAAACUACAACUCAGAAGAAUCAAUUGACAUAAAUGUUAAUAUUUUUAAAUGGCUUAAUCUCAAUUAAGAUUUAAGUAACCGAAGGAAUAAAACAGAUGAGAUGCUCACAAAAAAAAACUAUUUACCCAAAAAUCAUAGUGGCAUAAGCAGCAUAACCUGGUGAUCCAGAGAAACGUCAACAUUUAAAGAAUACAUAAAAACCCUUCAACCAUUGGCCAUUUAAAACUCAAAAAGCGUGAACACCCAACUUUAAAAUGUUCAAUGGCGGUCAGACAAUGAGUUUUUCAAAAAAGCAACAGAAAGGGAAAGAGCUAGAUAACAAAAUAUGUCAAGUUCUGCUGGGUCCAGAUGUACAUUAGCGUCGGUUCUGGUCGUUCUGCACUUUGACUGGGAGUAGCCAUCUCCAGGCAACAGUCCUGUUUCCCAGUUCUCCCGGGCAGGGUAGGGGAUGGGCUGUUGCGGUAGCUAGGCUAACGGCUAACGUUAGCUGCCAUGAAAGAUAAAAUUAUGGAUGUCCAAUAAGCAGAUAAGGACCAAGACAUAACAUAGUGUGUGUGCUUUAACGCUAAACGAGCAUAUCAAGUGAAUUAUGCACCGCUUUCUGUCAACACGUCUUGGUUUAAAGGCGCCACAUUCAUUCAUCUCCCUCCCUUUUCUUCCGCCGGCGUCUGUCUCCAUAUGCCAGUACUUUAACUGACUGCACGUCGCAACGGCAGCGCCGCUGAAUGCCGCUCAGAUCGCACAAACCUAUGAGGCCAUUUAUGAUCUUUUCGGACCGAUGUCCGUGGAAACCAGAGGAUGGGGUUCCGAAUGCAUGAUUUGGGAAAUUGCUGCAAAACCACAGAAAAUGAGCAGCCUCUCACUGAAACGUCUAUUUCCAAUAAAACGUUCGUGCCCUUUUGACAUGAUCAGAGUAUCAACUUGAACACCGCAGUUGUGUUAAAGCUUGCCCAUGUUAAGCCAUCUGCCCUGCCGCGACAGCCUAAUGGUGACACGAGGCCGGUUGGCUGGAACAGAUGACCGUUUUCUCCCCACCGCCUGCCCGGCCAGCCUCUGACACACAGCAGCACAGCUACAAGUCGAGCCAACUUUACACAUCCAAGACAUACAAUGACCCUCAGAUUCUUACCUCAGGUAGUGUGUCGAACCAAGUUCCGUGGAGCAGCCAUCUUCGGAACCCCAAUCUUCCUUCGUUCACACGAACCGAGCCCCCUCCUCCGGCUAGCGAUCACUCUGGACAUGGACUUAUUGCCGGCGCCGCACAGCUACUGGUGCCCAGUGGGCUGCCCACCGCCUCUACCACCGACAGCUCCUUCAGUCUACACACUUCAUUUAUUUUAACGAAACUUAAUCUGACAUCCAAAGGAGGCCACUUUGUGAGAACAGCUAGAAAUGAUCUUCAUUGAUGACCACGUCCGAUUUCCUAUUGGUUUAAAGGUUUAAAAAAAAAAAAAAAAAAAAAAAAAAAAGAAGGCUAACAUUAGCUAGCUAGCUAGUAGCUAGCAUGUUAGCUGUCUAAUAAAAUACUGCCAUUGGAAUUUGGAGACAGUCCGCACAGGGCAUAAUGCUUGACAGCAACACAGCCGAAGGAUCAGUCUUGUAAACGCAACGAAAUAGCGCUUUGUAGUUUAGCGGACAGAGGUACAGCUAACCCUGGUCUGCCCAGCCCCUCUGAUGGAAAUAUCGGUCAAAGGAGAGGGGCUGCAUUGAGCGCGCACUCCCGAUUAAGCGCGUUCUUGAGGCAUUUCCCACAAAAUGGCUGCCAAAACAAACCUAACGCAAGCGCUUCCCAACAACCAGUCCUCGCGACAAAAGUGGCAAUAUUGACGAGAAAAGGUUCAUGCUUAAGUAUAUCAGUGUAUGUUGUGAGCAUGCGGAUCCAGAAGAAUAAUUUUUAUUUGGCAUCAAGCAGAAACGCAGCUUUGACGAGCAGCUUAAAAUAAAAACGGGAUGCUUUCACUGAAUAUCUUCCCGCAUGAAUCGGAAACGACAGCAAGACUGCUAUGCUAAACCUGAACUAUAACAUUUGAAAGAAAAGUUGCGACAUCCUGCGCUGCAGCUGCAUAACUUCAGGUCAAAAGGAAAAAGGUCUCGGCUUCUCCAAAUCCCAGAACUGAGAAUAAUGCAGGCGUGUCUGUCUGCUACAGAAAUAACAAAUUCAAUAA